rnacentral:rRNA from 1 species
CGCCCCUUCGGGGGUACACGAGUGGCGCACGGGUGAGUAACGCGUGGGUAAUCUACCGCCGGGUCCGGGACAACUUCGGGAAACUGGAGCUAAUACCGGAUGAGACCACGAGAUCUCCGGAUCUCGCGGAAAAACGAUGGCCUCUGCUUGCAAGCUAUCGCCUGGCGAUGAGCCCGCGUCCCAUUAGCUAGUUGGUGAGGUAAUGGCUCACCAAGGCAGUGAUGGGUAGCUGGUCUGAGAGGAUGAUCAGCCACACUGGGACUGAGACACGGCCCAGACUCCUACGGGAGGCAGCAGUCGGGAAUUUUGGGCAAUGGGCGAAAGCCUGACCCAGCAACGCCGCGUGAGGGAUGAAGGCCUUCGGGUCGUAAACCUCUGUCGGGAGGGAAGAACGUUCCCGGGGUGAACAAUCCCGGGGGCUGACGGUACCUCUAGAGGAAGCGCCGGCUAACUCCGUGCCAGCAGCCGCGGUAAUACGGAGGGCGCAAGCGUUGUUCGGAAUCAUUGGGCGUAAAGCGCGUGUAGGCGGCUUGGCAAGUCGAGUGUGAAAGCCCGGGGCUCAACCCCGGAAGGUCGCUCGAAACUGCCUCGCUCGAGUCCCGGAGAGGAAGGCGGAA